CGGCGGACGGCUAAGUAACGCGUGGGAACAUGCCCCAAAGUGAGGAAUAACUGCCCGAAAGGGUAGCUAAUGCCGCAUAUGAUCUUCGGAUUAAAGGAUUUAUCCGCUUUGGGAGUGGCCCGCGUUCGAUUAGGUAGUUGGUGAGGUAAUGGCUCACCAAGCCUACGAUCGAUAACUGGUCUGAGAGGAUGAUCAGUCAGACUGGAACUGAGACACGGUCCAG
rnacentral:rRNA from 1 species